GAUGAACGCUGGCGGCGUGCUUAACACAUGCAAGUCGAACGGAAAGGCCGAAGCUUGCUUCGGUACUCGAGUGGCGAACGGGUGAGUAACACGUGGGUGAUCUGCCCUGUACUUCAGGAUAAGCUUGGGAAACUGGGUCUAAUACCGGAUAUGACGAUCUCUUGGAUGGGGUUGUGGAAAGCUUUUGCGGUAUGGGAUGAGCUCGCGGCCUACCAGCUUGUUGGUGGGGUAAUGGCCUACCAAGGCGUCGACGGGUAGCCGGCCUGAGAGGGUGUACGGCCACAUUGGGACUGAGAUACGGCCCAGACUCCUACGGGAGGCAGCAGUGGGGAAUAUUGCACAAUGGGCGCAAGCCUGAUGCAGCGACGCCGCGUGGGGGAUGACGGCCUUCGGGUUGUAAACUCCUUUCGCAAUCGACGAAGCCUUUUGGUGACGGUAGGUUGAGAAGAAGCACCGGCUAACUACGUG
rnacentral:rRNA from 1 species